UUCCUCCAGUGUUUUCAUCUUCAAGGAGCAUGGUCAAUGUGCCUCCUCUUACCCCUGAAUGUGCAAAGACAAUUGAUAUUGUCACUUUUCUGAGCAACCUUCAGAAAUGUGUGCAUGUGGUGGAAGGAAACAACCACAAAGAAAAGAACUUUUACAUUCAGGGGAGAACAACAUGUCAAAAUUCCUUAAACCAUGAUAAAUGUACCAAAAUCAUCCAGCUCUAUCCAAACAGCGUGAUGGAGAUUCCACAGCUCCCUCAAGCAACUGGUUCCAGUUUCAGUUUGUGCUGACAGUCUUGCAGCAGAUCUCGCAGAAGAUGAAAAGAGUAGGAAGAUGCAUCCCAGAAAACUGUGAACGAGCUAAUGAAGAAGCAGAAUGUGACAGGAGGUUGCAAACUAGGUGUCUGCAGCUUCACAUGUCCUUCUGGAACAGAUAUUUGACUCCUGACAUGCUGAGACCAAGAAGAGACCUGCUGUAAUAUGUAAAUGUUGGCUGCACAUGGCAGCUGCCCCUCACCUGGGAACUCCUGUUAGACAAUACCACUCUGUUAGGAGGUGUUAAGACUUUAGUCUGUAUUCACAGGAGGCUCUAGCCUGGAUACACCUGGCUUAGCUCACACACCCCACCUGCAUCCCAGGUAAGCCUGUUCUUGGACCUGUUUGUUGAUUUGUUGACAGGCAGGAUGCAGGAGUGGGAUUCAUUCAGUUACAUUGAUUUCUGUAGCACAGUGGAUAUUCAGAUGUGUUUCAUCUCACUCCAAAAUAGACGGGUACAUUUUUUACCCUCUAAAACUCCUCAGUCUUAUUAACUCCAUCUUAAUUAAUUCCAAGGAAGCCCAGGGUAACUUACUAAGAAGUCUACCCUGAAGUCAUCUGAAGUUAGAUAAGGUGACUCCUGCCACAGGCUUCAAAUUCCUUUAGCAUUUCAGCAUGUUUACUAGCCUUGGUAACUCUCUGUCCAGUGACUAAAAGUACAAAAUUGAGUUGCAGGAGAACUGGA